GCUGUGAAGAAGAAAUGACAACAGGCUGGA
rnacentral:piRNA from 2 species